rnacentral:rRNA from 1 species
GACGAACGCUGGCGGCGUGCCUAAUACAUGCAAGUUGAGCGAUGAAGAUUUGUUCUUGCGCCAAUUUGGAGAGCAGCGCACGGGUGAGUAACGCGUGUAGAAUCUGCCUUUGAGCGGGGGACAACAUUUGAAAACGAAUGCUAAUACCGCAUAAUAACUUUAAACAUAAUUGUUAAGUUUGAAAGAUGCAAUUGCAGCACUCAAAGAUGAUCCAGCGUUGUAUUAGCUAGUUGGUGAGGUAAAGGCUCACCAAGGCGAGGCUACAUAGCCGACCUGAGAGGGUGAGCGGCCACAUUGGGACUGAGACACGGCCCAAACGCCUAAGGGAGGCAGCAGUAGGGAAUCGUCGGCAAGGGACGAAAGUCUGACCGAGCAACGCCGAGUGAGUGAAGAAGGGUUUCGGAUCGUAAAACUCUGUUGGUAGAGAAGAACGUUGGUGAGAGUGGAAAGCUCAUCAAGUGACGGUAACUACCCAGAAAGGGACGGCUAACUACGUG